GACGAACCACCCAACCGUUAUUCGGAAUUACUGGGCUUAAAGAGUGCGUAGGCGGCCUUGUAAGUAGGGUGUGAAAUCCCACAGCUCAACUGUGGAACUGCGCUCUAAACUACAUGGCUAGAGGGAUAUAGAGGUGAGCGGAACUGAUGGUGGAGCGGUGAAAUGCGUUGAUAUCAUCAGGAACACCGGAGGCGAAGGCGGCUCACUGGGUAUCUUCUGACGCUGAGGUACGAAAGCUAGGGGAGCGAACGGG
rnacentral:rRNA from 1 species